GAUGAAGAACGUAGCGAAAUGCGAUAAGUAAUGUGAAUUGCAGAAUUCAGUGAAUCAUCGAAUCUUUGAACGCACCUUGCACCCUUUGGCAUUCUGAAGGGUAUGCUCGUUUGAGUGUCAUUGUACUCUCACACUCCCGAUCUUUGCAUUGGGAGCAGUGGACUUGGGUUUGCUGCUUCACCGUCGCUUACCUCAAAUAGGUUAGUGCAACUCUUGGUUGGACAUAGUACGGCGUGAUAAGUGUUCUUCGCCGGUGCCUCGCAAAGAGGGUGGCCGAUCGGGAUGUUGUGCUCCAAACCGUCUUCGGACAAUCUCUGACGACUUGACCUCAAAUCGUGUAAGACUACCCGCUGAACUUAAGCAUAUCAAUAAGCGGAGGA
rnacentral:misc_RNA from 1 species